UAAAAACAGCCUAGUCAGAGUUGGGAGGCAGGUAGGAAGAGUGGGGAAGAGUAGCUGAGCUUUACCAGCCCUGGGGCUGUGCUCCAAACGUGAGCAGACAUUCAGUAGACCUAACUAAGCCACUCCAGAUCUAAGUUGGUUCGCCUCCAGAAAUGAACUAGUUUAGAUAGGGCCUGGUAUUUUUUUAAUCCAACUGAAUCUCCUCUAAUGUCUGCACAGAUGGUCAUUUACCUUAACCUAACCCCAGUUCGGCCAAUCUAAAUGUAAUGUCUGCAUGUACCCACUGCCCCUUGCUGCAUGGGGGCUUGUGAAGAGCCCCCCACAUGGGUUGGGGCAGCGGGGAUUGCUCCCCCCCCCCAACAGGAGCAAGAAGAGUCCGGGGUUUCUUUGGGGGGGGGUCUUAAAGGGCCAGAGCUGACCUGUGUGGGGCACCCGUGAGGUGGAUAGGGGAGGGGGGGGAUGGGAGAGCCCCCCCCCAUGCAGUUGGGGGGGCAGAGAGGGUUGCCCCCCCCCCAUGCCCACCAGCACCUGCAAAGCCAGGACUUUUUCCCCCCAGGUGCUGGGAACUGGGUGGGGCAGGGCAGCCAUUGCUUGGCUGGGAGAGUGGCCAGGGGAUGGGCCUGGCCUGGAUGACUCAGAGAUUUGGCCGAAUCAAAUCAGGACAGUGAUUCAAAUCACCAAAUCGAAUCGCUGUCUCCCAAAUCAUCCGAAUCCAAAGCAAAUACUACCCACUUCGCACAGGCCUGUUGGCUAACGAUCCCUGCAAGUGUUGGCUUGCUUCAGUAUCAGCGCUUGGCUCCUCCAACUGGGAACACUUCUGGUUCCUCUCCUUAGCUGCAGUUUGUUCAGGUUAGUUUGUAGAGUGAAUCAUUACAAUUCAGAAGUGUAUUUCUUUAGUGGCUUUAAUGUGGCACUUGCAUUAUGCCUUUGAACAAACAAAAGUGUAAGUUAUUACACUUCUUGCACAGCUACACUUUAAAAGACCGCUUUAUGAGGAAUAUUUCAAAGGAUCACAGCCAAGUGCAUGCAAAGUCCCAACAAAGCAAAUGGCAGUAAGAGCAAACAGGCAAGGCAACAGGUGCCAGCCAAGGUCUUCUACAAUUGAUUUUUCAGGUCUGAAUUGGCAGCCUCAGACACACUUCCAGCCCCUCCGGGGGCUCAUUGGAGUUCUGCUGCUGUUUCCUCCAUCAGAGACAGUGUCCCUAGGAAUUACUUAAGAUGGCAGCUGUUGGCACUGCUUCAGUAUAGUGGGAAGUCUGCUUUACUGCCUGCUGUCUUAAUGACACUAUGCACAAUGCUACCAAGUGGGGUUAGAAAUAUGAUGUACAGGGACUGACUUUCUGUAAUGGCUUCCAGUUUGUCUGUUUUUGCACUUGCAGAUAUGUGGUUCUGUGCCAGGUUUCUGUGUGUCCAAGCUUCUGUAGUGCCUGUUAUGUGCAUACUGUAGAUCCAGAAUUUCGAAUAACCCUGGGACUCCCUUCCAAAUGCUAUAUCACUGACUCUGCUUAUUGUGUACAUCUGGAUCAUACUCCACACUCUACAGUAGGUGUAGUCCUAGAAAAGGGGUGUAUUCAAAGCCUGCUUAAGUUGCUGGAUGGAGUCUUUUCACUGACUUUAAUGAGCUUUAGAACCGGCUCUUACAGUGCUUUCAUUUUCAAAGGCAUUGAGCUAUUGUUGAGGUUCAAGGAAAGCAAAAUGCUCUUGCUAAUUCCUUGUUUUAGACUCAUGUUCCUUGUGCUGCAUACAUUCUUAAGCUGAAGGAAAGAACCAAUCAAGUCCUAUUCUUCUUGUCUCUGAAUAUCCACUACCACUGGGAAAUAGUCUAUGCUGUGUGGCUAAGAAAAAUUCAUUCAGAAGGCCAUUUCUUUCAAGGCCUUGUUAUGAUGUUCCCUGUUAUUUUCAGUAUUGCCACUCUAAAUCUUCAUAUCAGCCCUCAAAAUAAGCAGACAAGCAUAUCAGGGGUCUAAAUGUGUCUGUUCACGGCUGUUUUAAAUGGCUGUGGAAACGUUUCUUAUGCAGAUAAUAAUAGUGAGUACAGCCAGAGAGGUUCCCUUUCAACUCAGGAAAACACAUUAGUACAAAAUAUGCAGUUGUGUUAGGUACUUGUUGCAUUAAGAUUUCACAGAAAGGAAUCCCAAAUUGAAGCCUAGAUCUUUCUGAGUUUGUGGGUUUAUUGUUGACAUGGUUAUAAAUGCACUGUAGAAACUAUUUACAAUUUAAUUCAAAGCGCUAGUCAUUCACUUUUUUUUGCAAAGCAAAUGCAUCUUAUUUAGUUGCCCAAAUUAGAGCUGCUUAAUGCUUAAAUGAGAAUGCUGUGAGCUUUUGAAGAUCUGUACCAAACUAUGGAGUGCAAGAGGUGCCUAAUUUUGAAACACUGAUGUGAAUAGCAGGGCAUACAUGCGAGUAGAUAUACUGUGCACGUUGUCUGCCUGUUAGCGUUGAAUGUAUGACCCAGUUAGCUUCUAUCCCAGCCAUUUCAUAGAAUCAUAGACAAUUAGGGUGGGGAGGGACCUCAGGAGGUCAUUUAGUUCAACCCCUUGCUCAAAACUUAUUUAUUUAGCCCCAACUAAUCGUCCUACCCAAGUCUUUUUUAUAGCCAGGUCUUAAAAACCUCCCAGGAUGCAGGGUCCUCAACAUCUCUGGGUAGCCUGUUCUAGUGCUUUACUCCUCUCCUUGUGAAAGAGUUUUUCCUAAUAUCUAACCUCAAAUUCCCUUGUUGCAACUUGAAACCAUUGCUUCUUGUUCUGUCAUCUUCCACUGCUGAGAACAGUCCGGCUCCAUCCUCUUUGCAACCACCCUUCUGGAAGUUGAAGGCUGCUAUCAAAUCUCCUCUCCCUCUGCCCUUCUCCAGAUGAAAUAAGACCAGUUCCCUGAGCCUCUCCCUAUAAGUGAUGUGCCCCAGCCCCCUAAAUCUUUUCAUUACCCUCUGUGGGGCUCUCUCCAGUUGUUCCACAUCCUUUCUGUAGCCAGGGGAUGGGAUCAAAACUGGACACACUACUCCAGAUAUGACCUCACCAGUUGUGAAUAGAGGGAAGAAUCACUUCCCUCAAUCUGCUGGCAGCACUUCUACCAAUGCAGCCCAGUGUGCCAUUAGCCUUCUUGGCAACAAAGGCACACUUUCUGGCUCAUAUUCAGCUUCUUGUCCAUUGUAACCCGCAGGUCCUUUUCUGCAGAGCUGCUGCCCAGCCAGUCAGUCCCCAACCUGUACCGGAGCAUGGGACUGUUCUGUCCUAAGUGCAGGACUUUGCACUUGUCCUUGUUGAACCUCAUGAGAUUUCUUUUCGUCCAAUCCGCCAGUUUGUUGAGGUCUCUCUUAAUCCUAGCCCUACCCUCCAGCGUAUCUACUGCUCCCUCCACCUUGGUGUCAUCUGUUGGUUGCCCCUAACAUACCAUUUGUACAUGAGGUUAUGAUUGCAGUCUAUUUAAAGUAUAUGUGCAUAUAUUUGGUUGUAAGCCCUGUUCCUGAAAGUACAAAAGCAUAUGAAUAGCUCCGCUGGAGGCUGAUACCAGAGAUCACUUUUUUGGGAGCCAGUAUAAUCCAAUUUUAGCUACGUAGCUACACUUAAAAUAGUCAGAAACAGUUUUUCAUUGCUUUUAAGCCACUGAACAUGAGAAGCAACAGGGGGUAGGUAGGUCCUUGUACUGUAUACUUAGCAGUGAUAAAAUAGUUCACAUAUUCCAAAGCUGUGUUUGGAGGAAAAAAAGGAAAGCUGUAUUUGGACAGUGUUAAUAAAAAUGAGCAGCUAAAAUAUAGAGAGGAGAAUAUAGACUCUAGGGCUGCUAAGGAGUGUGACACUUUCCCCUCAUCCAUUAUUUUCACUGGACUGGUGUUCUUUGGGGAAUAUGAAGAAUGAAGACCAAACCUGAGGGAAUGCAGGUGGUGAACUCAUCAGGGCUUGGUUCACUUUCGUGCAGAAGGCCAUGAUGAUAUGCCUUAGAAUAAGUAGCACUUUAUCAUGAUCCUUACCUUUUUAUAUAGCACUUUUCCAUUUUACAAAGGGAGUCACAAUCUUUUUCUUUGUUAUAGCUGGGGAAACUGAAGCAGAAGGAAGUGAAAUAACUUGGGUCAGUUGACCCGGUGGGUCAGUAGCAGAGCUGAGAAUAUGCAUGAGGUCUCUGGAGUCCUGUAAUUUUUCCCUUAGAUUCUGUUACCUCUCUUAAGUGGUGCCUUCUUGAACUCUUGCCUGCCCACAGGGUAAAUUUCUUGUGCUAGUGAAUGACUUAAACAACACUAGAGAAACAAGGCAUUGAAGAUACUGUGCAUUUUGUUAUGCUUUUUGUGGUUCACUUCUGGGUCUGCCGCUGAGCACGCUGGAGAGCCCCCCGUGCGCCUGUGAGAUGCCCCAUCCACCCCACCAGUGCAGCGUUCACAAGUUGUGCCUGGGACCUCAAGUCCCUUUCAGGUGCUCCACGGCUUCAGCGUGAACUAAGAGAUUCCUGUUCAUGGAGAGGGUGGUUCAGGUGAUCAGUCUGAUCCGGCCUGCACUUGCAAUUCUUCCUUCGUUGUUCUGCAAGUAUAGUCGCCUCCAAAUUGGAACACCUGCUACACUGAUGUCACAGAGCCAGCAUCUAUGCUUAUACAAAGGGAAGAACAACAAUCUUUUUAUUGCUGUUAAGCAGAUUUGCCACAAAUUCCGUUUCCACUAAAACAUCAAAACACCAAGAACAAGGCCACAUUCCCCUCAAGGAAAUGGAUGGGGAGAGAGAAGAAGAAAUGCCCUGUGAUGCUGAUUCUACACAAGAGGCCUCCCUUUGGACAAUUCUUGAUUUCAGAGAUUAGCAGAUCCCCAAAUACACGGAAUUCAGUUCUCUUCCUCUUCCGCUUCUUCCAGAAGACCAUCUUCCUUUGAAUGCUGCUGCAGGAAAGACUUACUGCAACUGGAAGCACAAAGGCUGUAAACGCCAGACUGACUUUGAACUUGGAUAUUCAGCUCGGUGUUGCAAGCCAGAGUGGGACAGAACUUGUGAUCCAGAGAGCGAGUGGGAAUGGUGCUCCGAUAUCAGGUGUGCCACUGAAAUGCUUCCUGAUGUUUCCCAGACCCAAGGCUGCAAAAGCCUUCCCUGUUACCCAAGGAAGAAUUCACAGCAGCAGGCUCUGGCCUGAGAGGCCUAACGUGCUGCGUAUCAUCCCACGGGCUUCAUUAACAAUCGUGUCUUCCAACCAGAACCAGUGAAGCAUGAAGUCAUCCCGAAGUUAAGAUAUUCAAAGGCAACCAGUUUCUUGGGUGCUCAGCUUGGAACAGCUUUAAGGGACUUUUGAUACGAGCACAGUGAACACCCAGCAAUGGACACCUCUCCCCACUUCUGCAAAUCCUGGCAUUUGCAAAUCCACUAACAAUAUAUUUUUUUUAAAUAAUGCUUCCAUAUUUUACCUGUAGUUUGUGUCAUCACUCAUAUGCUAUUCUUCUUUUACAAGACAGUUUAAUGUUGUGCAGUUUGACAGAUGAAGUAUUUUAUGCACAGCUACACAAAAUAAAAGUGAUUUACUUUCAUUAAAACAAGGAGAUGGCAAAAUAAAAUUUAAGGCCAGAUCCUGAUAUUCUUAUUCAUGUUGAGAAGUUGCAGACUCUCUGACACUUCCCACAAUAAUCAGUAAAAUGCCUCAUGAUAUUCUUGGGCAGGAAGAUGUAACCUUGCCAUUGGUUGCCUUAUGUGUUUGCAGUACAGAAGGAAAAUUUCUGGAUGGCUCAUUCAUUACUAAAAUAGUAUAUCUGCUCAGAAGCAGGGAAAAA